CGCGGGAGUGGUGUAACGGCAGCCACGCCAGGUUUAGGUCCUGGUGCCUUCGGGCGUAGGGGUUCGACUCCCCUCUCCCGCA
rnacentral:tRNA from 1 species